rnacentral:rRNA from 1 species
AGAGUUUGAUCAUGGCUCAGAUUGAACGUUGGCGGCAGGUUUCAUACAUGCAAGUCGAACGAGUAAUCGCCCUUCGGGGUGUGCGCUAGUGGCGGACGGGUGAGUAACGCGUAGGAAUCUACCUAGUAGUGGGGAAUAACGUCAGGAGACUGAUGCUAAUACCGCAUACUACCUAAGGGUGAAAGCGGGGGAUCUUUUGACCUCGCGCUAUUAGAGGAGCCUGCGCUAGAUUAGCUUGUUGGUGAGGUAAUGGCUCACCAAGGCGACGAUCUAUAGCUGGUCUGAGAGGAUGAUCAGCCACACUGGAACUGAGACACGGUCCAGACUUCUAAGGAAGGCAGCAGUAGAGAAUAUUGCACAAUAGGGGAAACCCAGAUGCAGGCAUGCCGCGUGUGUGAUUGAAGGCCCUUUGGGUUGUAAAGCACUUUCGAUGGUGAAGAGAGCUGGCGCGCUAAUACCGCGAUCCA